AUCAGUGCUGUCAGAGCCAAGAACCUGCAUCAAAUUGAUAAAGAUCUUUUGGACCAUUUCAAGGCCUUCCUUCAUCCCUCCUUUAAUUCUAUCCAGGAAUCCAGUACAUAUUUAGGAGUAAUAGUUGACAAAGCAAUGCAAAUGUACAUGCAAACCAUCUGAAUUGAACAGACAGCUCAUGCUUUCAUGAUAGGAAAGAUGGCCUGUCUCUGGAGGGGAAGGCUGAUGAUGCUGCCUGCUUUCCAUGGAGCAUCUGCCUCUGUAUUACACUCCUGAUGUGACACAGUGUUACAUGUCUGUGAGUGAAACAGCCAACAAAAAGGGAAAAGCAGAGACACAAAGAUGAGAUGCUUGUGGAGACCACAGGAUAACAGCUCCACGUCAAUU